ACCUGGCUAGUUCAGUUGGUAGAGCAUGGGACUUAAUCCCAAGGUCAUGGGUUUGAGCCCCAUGUUGGGUG
rnacentral:tRNA from 1 species